GUUUGUUCAUCGGUCACAAAUCAAAAGAUUUCUAAAUCACGAUUUAUUUACUGUUCACAAAUUAUAGAUAUUACAAGUCACAUCUUAUUAUACAGUCACAAAUUAUCAAAUUAUCGAUCACAGGUUAACAAUUUUUUAGGUCAUACAUUAUUUUCGGUCACAAUUUAUCUUUUUCAUUGGCCACAUAUUAUUUAUUGGUCAUAGAUUAAUCAAUUUAAUGGUCACAGUCAACCAAAUAAUUUGUGACCACCACCAACACUUACGAUUCACAAUUUUUAGAUCACGUAUCCAAUUGUGAGUCACAGACACAAUUUUCAGGUCACGUAUCCAAUUGAGAGUCACGGUUAUAGUUACAAUUUUCAUCGCCACCACGGUGACGACCACACACCAACACCACAGUUGGAAUUCAUAGUCACAGUCCACAACCACCACAAUCGCCCCAAAUUAUCGCCGCCACGCACCAUGGUCACAAGCAUCCAAUCCCAUCUUAUCCCAUCCACGACCACCCCCUCAACCAUCUCUAUCACCAUUACCGCCACCACCACAAUAGAGCCUUUGCCAACAGAGUCACCACCACCUCAAGACAACCAAUCAACACCACAGCACACCAACAGACUCACCACCACAACAGAGCACUUUCGCCACAUCAACCACCACUACCUUACGACAAAAUCGAUCAAGCCCAACAGAUCAACAGAUUAACAACCACAACAGACCAACGCCGUCACCAGAACAGCCACCACUGAACAGAGCCACCAACAACACAACAGAGUCAUCGCCACCACCACCAGAUCUAAGCCGUAGCCACCACCACCAAAUCUAAGACUUCACAAAAAACUAUCAUAGCCACCACCACCACUAUCCAUUUAGACAGCUCAGAUUCGCCACCACCACGCAACCACCACACCACACCACAUCCACCACCAAACACCAUCCACAAAAAAAUCGCAAAAUCACUAGGGGAUGAGCACAGGGCCACCUGCAAUUGCUGCAACAACUCCGAAUACAAUAGCGCUGUCGUUGCCCCGGUGUGGACGUUGCUUCUAUGACUUCUCACGGUGCUACUGUUGUGGCUUCCGAUGGUGGGUUUUCUCACAGGUGCUUCUCACGGCGGCGAUAGACAGAGAGAAUGGAUAUUGCGAAUAGGGGGAAAUGAAAUAUAAUUUAGGGUAGAGUUUGAGUUGGAAUGGGGUUGUGGUGGAGACGUGGAGUUGUAAUACAAUUUAUUUUUU
rnacentral:lncRNA from 1 species